rnacentral:rRNA from 1 species
UAGGGAAUCUUCGGCAAUGGGGGCAACCCUGACCGAGCAACGCCGCGUGAGUGAAAAAGGUUUUCGGAUCGUAAAGCUCUGUUGUAAGUCAAGAACGGGUGUGAGAGUGGAAAGUUCACACUGUGACGGUAGCUUACCAGAAAGGGACGGCUAACUACGUGCCAGCAGCCGCGGUAAUACGUAGGUCCCGAGCGUUGUCCGGAUUUAUUGGGCGUAAAGCGAGCGCAGGCGGUUUGAUAAGUCUGAAGUUAAAGGCUGUGGCUCAACCAUAGUUCGCUUUGGAAACUGUCAAACUUGAGUGCAGAAGGGGAGAGUGGAAUUCCAUGUGUAGCGGUGAAAUGCGUAGAUAUAUGGAGGAACACCGGUGGCGAAAGCGGCUCUCUGGUCUGUAACUGACGCUGAGGCUCGAAAGGCGUGGGGAGCGAACAGGAUUAGAUACCCUGGUAGUCCACGCCGUAAACGAUGAGUGCUAGGUGUUGGAUCCUUUCCGGGAUUCAGUGCCGCAGCUAACGCAUUAAGCACUCCGCCUGGGGAGUACGACCGCAAGGUUGAAAC